GAAUUUGGACGUUUGAGAGGAUUCUAAGGGAUAAAUUGAGCGUUAUAGAUAGGUUGAAGUUAAGGGAACUUAACUUAAGAUAUUAAUUUAGUAGUUUUGAUUUUAUAAUGCCAAUUUAAUUUAAAUGCAUUUUUGAACCUCGUUUGUGACAGACAAACCGAGAGGCGACAGGAUCGACGGUUUUGGUCUAGGAGUAUUCGGCCAAGACUAAUGCGUGUAAAUGAUUUGAAUUGGAAAGCAAGGAGUACCUAGACUUGGAGUGACUAAAAGUCCAUCAAUUUGCCGGAAGUUUGUUUAGCUAUGUACAGUCCGACUUCCGCGACCGCUGCAGUAGUACAUUGUGUGACCAGUCAUGACCUAGGAUAAUGUUAUAGUGUUGGAAAAUGUUUAUAAUUGCUGUUGUGUAUAAAAUGAAUAUUAUAACAAUGUUAGAUAUACAUAGUCAGUGUUUAUAAAAUGGCUAGUAAUGUUUUCAUAAUUAAA